GACGAACGCUGGCGGCGUGCCUAAUACAUGCCAGUCGAGCGGACUGAAUGGGAGCUUGCUCUUGUUCGGUCAGCGGCGGACGGGUGAGUAACACGUGGGCAACCUGCCCGCAAGACCGGGAUAACUCCGGGAAACCGGAGCUAAUACCGGAUAACACCGAAGACCGCAUGGUCUUUGGUUGAAAGGCGGCGCAAGCUGCCACUUGCGGAUGGGCCCGCGGCGCAUUAGCUAGUUGGUGAGGUAACGGCUCACCAAGGCGACGAUGCGUAGCCGGCCUGAGAGGGUGACCGGCCACACUGGGACUGAGACACGGCCCAGACUCCUACGGGAGGCAGCAGUAGGGAAUCUUCCGCAAUGGGCGAAAGCCUGACGGAGCGACGCCGCGUGAGCGAAGAAGGCCUUCGGGUCGUAAAGCUCUGUUGUGAGGGACGAAGGAGCGACGUUUGAAGAAGGCGGCGCGGUGACGGUACCUCACGAGGAAGCCCCGGCUAACUACGUG
rnacentral:rRNA from 1 species